UGAAAUCUGGUACCUUCGGUGCCCGAGUUGUAAUUUGGAGAGGGCAACUUUGGGGCCGUUCCUUGUCUAUGUUCCUUGGAACAGGACGUCAUAGAGGGUGAGAAUCCCGUGUGGCGAGGAGUGCGGUUCUUUGUAAAGUGCCUUCGAAGAGUCGAGUUGUUUGGGAAUGCAGCUCUAAGUGGGUGGUAAAUUCCAUCUAAAGCUAAAUAUUGGCGAGAGACCGAUAGCGAACAAGUACAGUGAUGGAAAGAUGAAAAGAACUUUGAAAAGAGAGUGAAAAAGUACGUGAAAUUGUUGAAAGGGAAGGGCAUUUGAUCAGACAUGGUGUUUUGUGCCCUCUGCUCCUUGUGGGUAGGGGAAUCUCGCAUUUCACUGGGCCAGCAUCAGUUUUGGUGGCAGGAUAAAUCCAUAGGAAUGUAGCUUGCCUCGGUAAGUAUUAUAGCCUGUGGGAAUACUGCCAGCUGGGACUGAGGACUGCGACGUAAGUCAAGGAUGCUGGCAUAAUGGUUAUAUGCCGCCCGUCUGA
rnacentral:rRNA from 1 species